CGGGACUGAGACACGGCCCGGACUCCUACGGGAGGCAGCAGUGGGGAAUAUUGCACAAUGGGGGAAACCCUGAUGCAGCCAUGCCGCGUGUGUGAAGAAGGCCUUCGGGUUGUAAAGCACUUUCAGCAGGGAGGAAGGCUUACCCCUAAUACGGGUGAGUACUUGACGUUACCUGCAGAAGAAGCACCGGCUAACUACGUGCCAGCAGCCGCGGUGAUACGUAGGGUGCGAGCGUUGUCCGGAUUUAUUGGGCGUAAAGGGCUCGUAGGCGGUUGAUCGCGUCGGAAGUGGAAACUUGAUGCUUAACGUUGAGCGUGCUUUCGAUACGGGUUGACUUGAGGAAGGUAGGGGAGAAUGGAAUUCCUGGUGGAGCGGUGGAAUGCGCAGAUAUCAGGAGGAACACCAGUGGCGAAGGCGGUUCUCUGGACCUUUCCUGACGCUGAGGAGCGAAAGCGUGGGGAGCGAACAGGCUUAGAUACCCUGGUAGUCCACGCUGUAAACG
rnacentral:rRNA from 1 species